GUACUUACCUGACAGGGGAGAUGCCAUGAUCAUGAAGGUGGUUUUCCCAGGGCGAGCCUCACCCACUGCACUCUGGGUGUGCUGACCCCUCCAAUUUCCCCAAAUGCGGGAAACUUGACCGCAUAGUUUGUGGUAGUGGGGGGCUGCGUCUGCACUCUCCCCUG